UGGGAGCGGUUGGGACGUGUGCCGGCGCGGGCGGGCGGGCUGGUUCCCCGGCCGGGCGCCGCCGCCAUGCUCGACUUCUUCACUAUCUUCAGCAAGGGCGGCCUGGUGCUCUGGUGCUUCCAGGGCGUGCGCGGCCCCGCCGCCGCCGCCUGCACCGCGCCCGUCAACGCGCUCAUUCGCUCCGUGCUACUGCAGGAGCGAGGUGGCAACAACUCUUUUAACCAUGAAGCUCUUACACUUAAAUACAAACUGGAUAAUCAAUUUGAGCUUGUGUUUGUGGUUGGUUUUCAGAAGAUCCUGACUCUAACCUAUGUAGAUAAGUUGAUAGACGAUGUCCAUAAGGAGUUCAGAGACAAAUAUCGCAAUGAAUUCCAGCAGAAAGGCACUCUGGGGCUCCUCAAUGGCACCUUUGAUUUUAAAGAGGAUUUCUUACACCUCCUCCAGGAGGCAGAGGAGAGCAGCAAAGUGCGAGCUCCCCCUGUCAUGAAGACAUUUGAGCAGUCUUUGAAGUCUCAGAAGACUGUCAAGUCCAUGAUAGAAACCCGGGGGGAGAAACCAAAGGAGAAACCCAAGAACAAGAAAAACAAAGGUUCGAAAAAGGAUGCUUCUGGAACUGAGGCUGCUACAGUCCCCAGUAAAGCAGCCCCAGUUGCAAAGCAGAACCCUCCUACAUCAGCUGGGGACAGGGAGGAACUGACCAAGGAUGAAAUCCUGCAAAAGAACCGGGAGGAAUUCUUCAAGAGACAUAUGAAAGGAGGAGAGAAGUCCAGCAAGUCCCCAAAGCCUGAGACUCAGAAAGAGAAGGGGAAGAAACCCCGUGUUUGGGAUCUGGGGAACUCCAAUGCCAAAGUACUUGAUUACAGUAACUCCACUACCAACGGAAACACAGAGACUUGCCCCGCUGAGGAGUUUGACCCUGAUAUGGCCCUCAGAGAUCGGAAUCGGGAGCCUGGCCGCCUCUAUGAUCUUGACUAUGAGAGUGACGAAGAGGAACCUGAAGAGGAGAAGGUUGCUCAGAACCCUUCUAAACCAGGUGCUAAGAAGGGUGGCUUGGGAGGCAUGUUCGGGAUGCUGAAAGGCUUGGUGGGUUCUAAAAGCUUAACCAGAGAGGAUAUGGACUCUGUUUUGGAGAAGAUGAAGGAUCAUCUGAUUGCAAAGAACGUGGCUACAGACAUUGCCGUUCAACUGUGUGAAUCGGUUGCCAAGAAGCUGGAGGGGAAAGUGAUGGGGACAUUCACCACGGUGACCUCAACAGUGAAACAGGCCCUUCAGGAGGCCUUGGUGCAGAUCCUGCAACCCCAGCGCCGUGUGGACAUCCUGCGUGAUGUUAUGGACGCCCAGCGCCAUCAUCGGCCUUAUGUUGUCACUUUCUGUGGGGUCAACGGGGUGGGAAAGUCAACCAACCUGGCCAAGAUCUCGUUCUGGCUGAUUGAAAAUGGUUUCAGCGUCCUCAUUGCUGCCUGUGAUACAUUCCGCGCUGGAGCUGUGGAGCAGCUGCGCACUCACACUCGCCGCCUGAAUGCUCUGCAUCCCCCGGAAAGCCAUAGUGGGCGCAUCAUGGUCCAGCUCUAUGAGAAGGGCUAUGGGAAGGACGCUGCCGGCAUUGCCAUGGAGGCCAUUUCUUACGCACGUAACCAGGGUUUUGAAGUGGUCUUGGUGGACACUGCUGGCCGUAUGCAAGACAACGCCCCCUUGAUGACUGCCCUGGCUAAACUCAUUGCAGUCAACACCCCUGACCUGGUCCUCUUUGUCGGGGAAGCCCUGGUGGGAAAUGAGGCUGUUGAUCAGCUGGUGAAGUUUAACAAAGCCUUGGCUGAUUACUCCAUGGCCCAGACACCACGUCUCAUCGAUGGAAUUGUGCUCACCAAAUUUGAUACCAUUGAUGACAAGGUGGGAGCCGCGAUCUCCAUGACUUACAUCACAAGCAAGCCCAUUGUAUUUGUUGGUACUGGACAGACCUACUGUGAUCUGCGUAGCCUUAAUGCCAAGGCUGUGGUUGCAGCUCUCAUGAAGGCCUAAAAACCAAUUAUUGCACCAAAUUGCUGUUUGCAGAUAUCUCAGAAUGUGCUUUACCACGUGACUGACUAGUCUUUUCAGUGUAGUGCAAGACAGAAUGAAGGGGUCACAGAGCAAGGAGUUGCCAAAUCCACUACUUGCCUGUGAAUAAUCUCUCAUUGUGCUCCCCAAUGCAUGAUUUUAAACUUUUGGAGGAGGUGGCUACCUUUAAUCAUGUUGUGCUUACUCCAGUUAGCUACAUGCUUCCUCCAGUUACUGGAUAUACAACAUAUUUUUUGGCGAGGAUGCGUCUCCUGCUGGAGCUCUUUAACCAGACCAUCUCUGUGGCUGUCCACCAGCAAAGCCCUUUCUCCUAGAUUUCUUCAUUCUGUCUAAGUGACUCAGCCUUCCCAGAGGCUGAAACCAGAGCUUUGUAUUGUUCAUACAGUGUGAGUGGUGACUUAAGGACUCGCAGCCUUUGGGGCUGCUCUGUCACUAACAAAGCAUCUAUGGACUGUUCAGUUUAGGUUGUUUAAAAGUAUUCUUGAUCCUGUGAGCCAGUCUGGAUCUUGUAGGUGGCACUGGGCUCAUCAGGGACAUGAGUGAGUUGCUCAUAAGACAGUUCUAGGCUAAUUGGCAUAGGCAAGUGGCUUGCUUUGGACAUUCAGUAGAGCAGGAAUAGAUGCUACUUAGUGACAGUUUUAGUGCAUCCAUCCUGAUUAAUACUUGCUGCUAGCUUGGACUAUGGCAGCUCACCAAAGUUGCUAAACCAAAAAUUCUAAAUCUGCCCCUAUGCUUGUCAAGCAGGGGAUAUAGGGGAGUUGCUGAAGUUGCCUUAAGGUCCCUUGUUUCCAUUAUCAUGGGACUCCUAAAGCAGGGCUAUCCAGAUGCUAUGUAAAAGUGGCAGGAACCUGAGGAGUCAGUGUGGCUCUGAUACUGCAGCUCCCAGUGAGCAGCCUUUCACCAUGGUCUGAGCAUCUCUGAUCCAGGAGACUUGCGGGCUGGAACUGUGAACUGCACUUCUGCCCACAGUGAAGGAACAUUGCCUGGAUUGUAGUAGCAAUCUACAAGGUGUAUACAGCUUCAACCAGUCCCUCACCCUCAUCAAACAAAGUACCAGCCAACACAGAUAAGUGAACAGGUUUUUCAUACAGCUUCCAACAUGCAGUCAGAACAGAAAAUACAUUGUGUGAAAUAGAAGUCUUUGCAGUCGCUUAGGAGGAACCAGCUGGGCCUCAGCCCAUCCUGCUGUCGGGUGAAUGCUCAGACGCUGCACCCUGUGUAAAGUCGAAGUAGGAAAUUGGCUGAGUAGAAGUUAGCCAGAAGCCUCCAUCCCAAUGAGCACAGUCCAACCCACCCGUUUCUUAGGGCAUUAGCUCUGACAGAAGCAACACCCUGAAAGCAAAGUAGGUAUGAGUAACUGGUGUGGCUCUUGCAGGAGAUGGCUAGCAGGGCCACCUUCAGUUGAACAGUUCAAAGCACCUGUGAUGGACAACUAGGAGCUUUUGUGUGGCCACACUUUCAGGGAAAGCCAUUUUGUAUUCAAACCCUCUCAAAUUGGGCAGCUCAGGGAAAUUUCUGAAGGGUUCUGGGCUGGUCUUCAUUCACAUUACCAAUGCUGGGUUUUGCAAACCUGCUGUUAAAGCUGCCACUACUUGUUCUUCAUGUGCAGAAGCAGCAGUUACCUUUAGCACCAGGGGCAGGGAGGAGCCCUCGACUCUAGAAUACCCCCUCUAACCAGGGACUCACAACAUACCCCUCUGGAACAGCAGUCUCACACUCGCUUCUAGUUUACUAAGUGUCAUACCUUAGAUUUCCAUGUGAGCUACAACAGAGUCAUUGAGUUGUUCCUCUUUUGGCACACCUGGGGAACAGAGCAAAUGAUGCCACAUGGGAUGGACAUAACUACUAGAAACUGCAGAACAGAACAAGUCUCAGGAAUAGUUUUCUGCUCUUAGGGAUUUGAAGGCGAUAGGCAAGCACAAUCUUGUGUCUCACUUGCAGGCAGAGGGCAGCUUGCUGUCAGCAGUGAGCACAGACACCACCAGCAGCUGCAGCUCACACCUAUGGCAUAGGCUGAGCUGCCAAGGAAAUUAUUAGGAUGCACCUUUUGCUGCUCUGACAGAUUAGGCUAGGGUCUUCUUUCCUGAUCCUUCAGCUGCUGGCUCUUAUUCUUUCCUCCUGUGGCUUUGAACGCACAGAGCAGGCAGUCCCAGAAAGAAAACCAACUACCAAUUUCCUAGCUACCUGCUUCAGAAGACAUCUCCGUGAUGAAACCAAACCUACUUGUCAACAUUGCACUUUCUCCUUGAAUUAGUUUGAGAUUUGAAUCGGCAUCACAGGUCUCAGAACUUUGUACUACAUUAAUAUUAAAAGGCUCCUAUGUGCCUUGUAUGA